rnacentral:rRNA from 1 species
CGCGUAGGCGGAUGGUACAGUCAGAUGUGAAAUUCCCGGGCUUAACCCGGGGGCUGCAUUUGAUACGUGCGGUCUGGAGUGAGGAAGAGGGUCGUGGAAUUCCCAGUGUAGAGGUGAAAUUCGUAGAUAUUGGGAAGAACACCGGUGGCGAAGGCGGCGACCUGGUCCUUGACUGACGCUGAGGCGCGAAAGCGUGGGGAGCAAACAGGAUUAGAUACCCUGGUAGUCUACGCCGUAAACGAUGUGUGCUGGAUGUUGGGCGACCUAGUCGCUCAGUGUCGUAGCCAACGCGAUAAGCACACCGCCUGGGGAGUACGGCCGCAAGGUUGAA